rnacentral:rRNA from 1 species
UGGCGACCGGCGCACGGGUGAGUAACGCGUAUGUAAUCUACCUGUAACAGGGGGAUAACCCGGAGAAAUCCGGACUAAUACCUCAUAGCACAUAUUAUUCGCAUGAAUUUUAUGUUAAAGAGACUCGGUUACAGAUGAACAUGCGUUCCAUUAGCUAGUUGGCGGGGUUACGGCCCACCAAGGCAACGAUGGAUAGGGGUUCUGAGAGGAAGGUCCCCCACAUUGGAACUGAGACACGGUCCAA